rnacentral:misc_RNA from 1 species
GACAGUUUAAAUACGACAGUUUUCGAGGGAGAGAGAAGUUACGAGUGGGUAUUUAAAAACCAUUCAAUUCUCAAUAAACAUCUUUAAAAGCGACAAAUUAUAUUUUGAUAAACGUUUCUUAUAAGUGUAUAAUUGUGUUGUUACUACUUCUACCAUGUGAAUUAUUGUACGUGUGCCAAACCGUCGUAUUGAUUUCUUGGAGUUCUAUAAUUUCUGGACGAUCCGCCAUGUUUGUUAUUCUCCUUUACUAUUUUUAGGCGUAUGCAUAAAUGCAUAUGACAUAUGCCCCCUUUGUUACUGUUUUAUUUGGACUUCUGAUUUAGUAAUAAUUAGUUUAGUUCGGUGGUGAAUUAAGUUAAAUUCGUAAAUAAGAAGAUGGAUUUAAUAGUGAAAUCGUAUAGUAAGGAUAACAGAGACAUACCUGUAUCAUUACAUGAAAAACAUAGUCGACCACCUGAAGACACAUCAGGACAUUUAGAUCAAACAACUUCUAAUUCGUGUCGAUGUGAAGAUAUCAAAACAGAGGAAGAUCCCGAUGUUGUGAUAAUUGAACAGACCCCCGAAGAAAUUGCUGUAGAAAAUUUUACAACAAUGACCCGGCCCACUCUACAACAAAUGCUGGGUAUGGAAUCGGAAAACGAGUUUGAAUUUGUAGAGGCGUUAAAAAAAUACAAUGACGUUUUGUCCAGCCUUGCGGAAGGACUAUCCGGCCAAUUAAUGGGGAGUGUUAUUAGCAGAGACAUUCUUUUUAUCACGGCGAACUACAAGAGAAUAGCUAUCGGAUAUAAAGACAAAUUCUUAGAUAUAAUGGAGCAGAUUCUCAAUACUACCUGCGAAUUGAAUAGGAAUUAUUUUGAGACUGCUAUACCGAGAACCAUUAUACCGAAAAUAACAAUAACGGAAUCUAGAAGAAUUAAACUGUUGUUGCAAGCUGGCCUGUUGAACAGGUGUGAUAGGAUAAUGAAUGUUCUGAUUAAUAUACGAAUAUGUGUGGAUAAAAGUGAACACAAAGUUCUGUGGGCUAAUAUUUUUAUAUAUUUCUUGGCUAGAGUUUUUUCUUAUCGGAAUUACGAUGACAUAGCUGCGGGGUUCAUUAUUUUCCAAAAAUUAAUGAAAAUCAAGACGACGCAAGAAGAACGUAACAUAAUCGAAGGGCACAUGUACAGAAUGCUUGGGAGAAACAACUUGUUAAAAAUUCCAGUCGUAAAGGCUAUGAUGGAGAAAAUGGAGAAGGACAGACUGUAUUCUAUCCGCGAUUUGUGCCUCAUUUAUAACAAUUACAAAAAGGAACAAAACCAAAGAAAAAGGGAGGACUAUGGAGAUAUCUCUUCGUCGAGUCGAAGGAGUGUAUUCAGGAAAUUUAACAUGUUCAGUAGCGACAUUGAUAACAGAGGGCGUCGGCGUUCGCUGUUCCAAUCUCAGUUCUAUUCUAGCUCGCCUUUGGCUCAAAUUCUAGCAGACUGGAAGAUGAGCGGCGUAUCAAGUGAGCACAAACAUAGUGAUCGGUGGAGUAAAAGUUAUAUAGAGCAACGACAAGAGAGUAAGAGCAACAACAACGGCGGUACGGAACUGAAGUGGGGCCCUCUCGAAAAUGAAACUGUGAUAGAAAAAUGUACCGAGACAGCACCAGUUAUUAAAAUAGACGACGACGACUCCGACGAUGAUGAUGUACAGUUUUGCACCGACCUAAAUGAAGAUUCCAAAGUAAAAACAUCAUCGGAACCAAAUGAAGAAGCGGACACUAAAUUUGUACCAUACAAAACUGAACUCAUUUUACAUAGUUCUAAGUACACGUCCAAUAACCAACGUAUAGAGGAGGCUUUGCCAGUAAAAGCAACAAGGCUUAAUGGAAUUGGGAAAACUAUUACAGAACUUAGCAAAAAGAACAAUUUAAAAGAAAAUGCCACAGAUUAUCCUGCAAGCAAAACGAAAACAGACUGCCCUUCAGCACCUGUUAAAUCAGAAAAUCAAGUACCGUCUAUCGACAAAACAGGAGACACGGCCAAAAACAGUGAACAAAAUUGGACGGAAAAUAUAGGUAAACCUCUUAGUAAAAAGGACAAAUUAAAAGAGAAUGCCACAGAUAAUCCUGGAAGCCAAACAAACACAGACUGUCCUUCAGCACCGGUCAAUUCAGGAAAUAAAACACCGUCUGUCAACAAAAUAGGAGACACGGCCAAUGACGUGGACAUUGUAUUUGUACCAGAAGAAAAUGAACCCACUUUAAACGGUUCAAAGUGCGGUGAAACGUCUAUGGAAAUUGACGGAAAUCUUUCGAACGUUGAUGCAGUUCAAGAAUCUCCUUUUACUGACGCAUCCCAUAACCAACGUAUAGAAGAAACUUUGCCAGUAAAAGAUAAUGCUGGAACAAUAACAAGGCCUAAUGAAAUUGUGAGACCUAUUACAGAACCUCUUAGUAAAAAGGACAAAUUAAAAGAGAAUGGCACAGAUAAUCCUGGAAGCAAAACAAAUACAGACUGUCCUUCAGCACCGGUUAAUUCAGGAAAUAAAACACCGUCUGUCAACAAAACAGGAGACACGGUCAAUGACACGGACAGUAUAUUUGUACCAGACGAAAUUGAACCCAUUUUAAACGGUUCAAAGUGCGGUGAAACGUCUAUGGAAAUUGACGGAAAUCUUUCGAACGUUGAUGCAGUUCAAGAAUCUCCUUUUACUGACGCAUCCCAUAACCAACGUAUACAAGAAACUUUGCCAGUAAAAGAUAAUGCUGGAACAAUAACAAGGCCUAAUGAAAUUGUGAGACCUAUUACAGAACCUCUUAGUAAAAAGGACAAAUUAAAAGAGAAUGGCACAGAUAAUCCUGGAAGCAAGACAAAUACAGACUGUCCUUCAGCAUCGGUUAAUUCAGGAAAUAAAACACCGUCUGUCAACAAAACAGGAGACACGGCCAAUGACACGGACAGUAUAUUUGUACCGGACGAAAUUGAACCCAUUUUAAACGGUUCAAAGUGCGGUGAAACGUCUAUGGAAAUUGACGGAAAUCUUCUGACCGUCGAUGCAGUUCAAGAAUCUCCUUUUACUGACACCACAUCCAAUAAUCAACGUAUAAAAAAGACUUUGCCAGUAAAAGAUAAUGCUGGAACAACAACAAGGCUUAAUGGAAAUAUGAAAACUAUUACCAACCAACGAUACCAGUGCGGUAAAACGUCUAUGGAAAUUGACGAAAAUCUUCCGAAUGUUGGUGCAGUUCAAUCUCCUUUUACUGAUGCAUCCAAUAACCAACGUAUAGAAGAGACUUUGCCAGUAAAAGAUAAUGCUGAAACAAUAAGGCCUAAUGAAAUUGUGAAAACUAUUACAGAAACUCUUAGUAAUACGAACAUAUUAAAAGAAAAUGACACAGAUAAUCCUGCAAGCAAAACAAAUACAGAACCUGUUAAAUCAGAAAAUCGAUCACCGUUUAUCGACAAAACAGGAGACACGGCCAAAAACAAUGGACAGAAUGGCAGGCGGAACGGCCAAAACCACUUAAUUUUUAUUGAAACUUGUAUAUUACCAGCGAUGUUAAAUCGGACGGAAAAUAUAGGUAAACAGGAGAUUUCGAAAACUAGAGAUAGUAAUGAAGAAAUCUUACCCUCGGUUUUGGACAAACGAUCUAAACCUGCUGGUACAGACAUGGAGGAACCAUUUUCCGAAAAAGACCCUAAAACGUACAUUAAUGGAGAAAUCAGUAAUUCAGAUAAGGAAAAUACAAGCGACGCUGGUUCAAAAUUACUGGAAAUGGAAUCUUCGCAAGAAAAGUAUUCUACCACUGAACUAAUCGAGAAAAACAAUCCAGAAACGCAUUCACAACUUUCGAUACCUGUAGAAUCAAAUAGAGACGAAGAAGCUCUUAAUGUGUCUGAAGUAAAUGAUAAUAUUACUAGCGGAAAUUAUGUGGAAAAGCCUAUGGAUACUGAAGAUCACGAAGCAACAAGAGAAUGUCAUACAGACGUUGCAAUAUCACCGGAGGAAUAUUAUGUAGUCAUACAGCCUGAUACAGGCCAAGAAAUACUGGAAACCUGCUCAGUAAAAGAAGCCAUUGAAGAAACGGGGACAACAGAAGCAACAUGUAACGGGUUGAUAGAAGUUAACAAAGAACACGCUAGGGAUAAUAAUAAUAUAAUAGAUAGGAAACUUCAUUCUGUUAUCAACCCGAAUUUGUUCAGUAAUCACACUGAGCCAACAGAUGAUAAUAUAAAAACAGAUGAGGACAAUAAUACAGACCAAGAAAGUGUGGAUCAGGAUCCAGCUUCUCCCGCCUUUGACGAACUUGACGUUCCUGAUGUAAAAACUUAUUUUGAGUCACAGGGAAUCAGUAAGGGAGAGGGAAUCAGUAGAGGGAAUCACAGGGAAUCAGUAGAGGAAUCAGGCACGUUUCUAUGUCCAAAUGAGGAAACUUCUUCGAUCACCGGAACUUCACAAGUAAAACCGACAGCUGAAACUAGGACACCUUCAGACGAUCCGUUACAACGUCCGUAUAAAAAUGCUAAAGAGUAUGUUGCAGUCUUUUGUGCCUCAAUAAAGGAGAAUUGUGACACGGACAAAGGAAAAACCAGCAGCGAAAGUAGCGAAGAAAACAUCUACGGUUUUGUCGAGCUUCCAAAAGAUGUUUUACCCAGUACAGAUUCGGCAAAACCUGAAAGCAUCGAGGAUAUUAAGAAGGAAAUACUAAAAACGGAACCUAGCGGUGCUCCACAAGUGCUUCCGUCGCCUACGCCUCAAAGAUGCGCGGUGACGAGAGCAAGUACGAAAAACGCGAACUCUGGAUCGAAUGUGAGAAAGCGUUCUGAUCCCUAUUCUGACGAACUGUAUCAGUACAACAUGGAGGGCGCUGUAGGAAAACCGCGUCGCGUUGGCAACGACGAAUACAGUCCGUUCGACAACUGGAGCGACGAAAGCGGAGACGUUGUCAGGUUAGGCAAAGAACCAACUCCUGCUCUUCCCAAUGGCGGUCGUAUUUCCGUGGUUUCGGCAAAUCAAGCGCCGCCACCUAGUAUCCUCAAGGUUAAAGCGGAACCGGACGGCAGAGCAUCGAAAUCGAAACGGAAAGCGCCCAGCUCUAAUAACUCUAACUCUCCCAGCUCUAAUAACAGGAGACGCACUAUCCAUGUGCCGGUAAGCGCGGGCGAAAUUAUUAACGAACCGACGACCCUUCAAGAAAAAAAACCGACUAACUUAAAUAAUUAUUUUAGUAAUUUGUAUUUGCCUAAUAGUAGUAGUAGUAGUAGUAGUAGUAGUUCAAAUGUACGGUUACAAAACUUAAACUUGCCAGUUUACAAUCACUUACCGUAUCCUAAUCCAUCUAACUUGUAUUGCGACAAUUUACAAAGUUCAAGCAAUCUAUUUUCUUCUCACAUAAAAUCAGAAAUCGAACAGUCGAAUAGUCAGGAGAAAAUCAUAAAAAGUGAAGAGUUUGGCGCAAUCACGAAGACAAUAAGCGACUCGAACGCCGUUCUAUACCCAGACAGCGUGUUUUGUACGGACACGGAAAAUCUGAACUACCUCAAUGCAGUGUUGCCGGCGCCAGUUCCCCAACUCGCGACGGACAGUCUGUUCCAAGACCACCUGAUGCCAAGUAUCGGGAAUUUUGUUAGUUCAGAAGAACCCGCUUAUCUCGGCCAGAACCUCGAUAACAAUCCAGUUUAUCCACACGGAAUGGGCCAGUUGCACGGAGAUUCUAAGGUAGCUUAUCAUCCUCAAACGACGAUGUACUCUUACCAUCCGACUCCCGUGCCGGAAGUCACUCAAAAUGUUAUGUCACAGAAUCCCCAACCUGUAAACGAAUGUACGAAAAAGAUGCCCUUUAAGAAACGCAAACCGUACGAAGAACACAAGAUGAACGAAGUCGUCAAACCCGAAUCAUAUCGCGUUUAUGAAGAUAUAUCGUACCCGGCCAAACGCCAGAUGUCUAUCGCCGAUCUACAGCGAUCCAUAUCGUCGGAUUUUCACCGGGUCGAUCGGUUUCCUACUCAGAUCAAAACGCCCGCGGCCAGAAAACUGUAUCCCGAAGGCACUUGUCAUUGUACGAACGAUCGCCACCGCGAAGGGUACCAGCAACACGACUGCAACAAAUCGUCGAAUUUUUUCGCGCGUAUUUUCAUCGACAGGCCUAGAGAGCGCUCGCCGAACUGUGCUUGUAACAAGAUGAGCUUGACGAUCGAAACGGGGCACAGGUGCAGCCAUACGCCCGAGAACGAUGGACAAUCGCCUCAGAAUUACAAGCGACACGCGCCCGUGUUGCAGUCGGUCCCCAACAACGUUCAGAGACCCCCAGAUAGGAGGGAGGAACCGGUGUACGAGCCUAAACCUAAACGUAGCAGGAAAGCGCCCGAGGUUUCUGAACCCAAAAGGAAGAGGGGUAGGCCUAGGAAGAAUCCCAAUUAGAAGAUCGUAAAAACGAAGAAUAUCGAAGAAAUCAUCGGAAGACGAUUGAAUAUUUUGAAUUAUUUUGUUUUUAAAAUAUACAAUUCCUUCCUUUAAAAAAAACUUUUAAGAGAUAUUCGUGCAUCAGUAUUAAUAAUAUUAAUCUUAUUUCAGUAUUUUUAUUCGUUCUAAAUAAUAAUACCGAUAACUAUAUGGCUGUGCAUUUAGUCUUUUUUUUUUGAAAACCUCACAGAAGAUUGCUAUUACUCGAAGAUGGUUAUUGCUGCGAAGAUACUGAAGAUCUGCGUUUAUUUUUGGUCUACUUGAACGAUUGAAAACUAUAAAUGCUAAUUAAAGAAGAAGAAAAUCGUUACAAAGAAUAUUUUAACUAGUUAAAAAUGGCUACUAUAUAUGAAGUGAUCGUAUUUUCGAUAUAUGUUUGACUUAUAUUUUUCACACUGUCUUUUAAAUUAUGUGUUAUAUUAUUGAAAAAAGAACGAUUAACGAAGAGAUCGAAGCUUCUUCAUACCGAAUAGAAAUUAAAAUGUAAUAGCUGUUUAAAUGUAAAAGGGAAUAACCGAAUUUUCUUUUUUAAGGCGCAAAAGUUAUUGAAGUUAGCAAAGGUGUGAAUCACAGCAUUCAACAGGCGAAUCAGAGGAAACGGCAACGAACAGAGUCUGAUAAGAAGUCGCCCACAAAAAGAACACAUGUUCGAUUUGACGUCAAA